rnacentral:rRNA from 1 species
ACUCAAAGGAAUUGACGGGGACCCGCACAAGCGGUGGAGCAUGUUGUUUAAUUCGAAGCAACGCGAAGAACCUUACCUACACUUGACAUGCCCUUUAGGACUUUCAGAGAUGAUUGUUUUCAGUUCGGCUGGGAGGAGCACAGGUGCUGCAUGGCUGUCGUCAGCUCGUGUCGUGAGAUGUUGGGUUAAGUCCCGCAACGAGCGCAACCCUUAUCGUAUGUUGCCAGCAUUUAGUUGGGCACUCAUGCGAGACUGCCGGUGAUAAGCCGGAGGAAGGCGGGGACGACGUCAAGUCAUCAUGGCCCUUACGUGUAGGGCUACAAACGUGCUACAAUGGCGUUAACAAUGGGCAGCGAGGUCGCGAGGCCAAGCUAAUCCUUAAAAAACGUCUCAGUUCAGAUUGUACUCUGCAACUCGAGUACAUGAAGUUGGAAUCGCUAGUAAUCGCAAAUCAGCAUGUUGCGGUGAAUACGUUCCCGGGUCUUGCACACACCGCCCGU